rnacentral:rRNA from 1 species
AGAGUUUGAUCAUGGCUCAGAACGAACGCUGGCGGCAUGCCUAACACAUGCAAGUCGAACGAAGCCUUCGGGCUUAGUGGCGCACGGGUGCGUAACGCGUGGGAAUCUGCCCUUGGGUUCGGAAUAACAGUUAGAAAUGACUGCUAAUACCGAAUGAUGUCUUCGGACCAAAGAUUUAUCGCCCAAGGAUGAGCCCGCGUCGGAUUAGCUAGUUGGUGAGGUAAAGGCUCACCAAGGCGACGAUCCGUAGCUGGUCUGAGAGGGUGAUCAGCCACACUGGGACUGAGACACGGCCCAGACUCCUACGGGAGGCAGCAGUGGGGAAUAUUGGACAAUGGGCGAAAGCCUGAUCCAGCAAUGCCGCGUGAGUGAUGAAGGCCUUAGGGUUGUAAAGCUCUUUACCCGGGAUGAUAAUGACAGUACCGGGAGAAUAAGCCCCGGCUAACUCCGUG